rnacentral:rRNA from 1 species
CCCUUAGAUGUUCUGGGCCGCACCCGCGCUACACUGAAGGAGGCAGCGUGUACUCCUGGAUCGAAAGAUUUGGGUAACCCGCGAAUCUCCUUCGUGCUAGGGAUUGAGGUUUGCAAUUAUCCUUCAUGAACGAGGAAUUCCCAGUAAGUGCAAGUCAUAAGCUUGCGCUGACUACGUCCCUGCCCUUUGUACACACCGCCCGUCGCUACUACCGAUUGAAUGAUUUAGUGAGGACUUCGGACUGGGACCGAUGCGGCUUUCGGGCUGCGUCGGUAUUCUGGAAAGAUGUCCAAACUGUAUCAUUUAGAGGAAGUAAAANUCGUANCA